GGACAAGUAUUUAACAUGAGAUUACUGAGAGAAAGUGGGAGAAGUCGAAGAUGACAAAUUAAGAAAAAUAUAUUAAAGAACCACGAAAUGACAUCCGCCCAUUAGACUAGACUGCCAUCAGCUCGUAGGACUCGAACCGGAACUAGACCCGGCGCCGGAGCUAGAGCUGGAGCCAGAAAGCAGUUCAGCGAGAGCGCUCAUGGCUCGAACUUGCAUCUC
rnacentral:misc_RNA from 1 species